GGCUCCAUAGUGUAGUGGUUAUCACAUCUGCUUUACACGCAGAAAGUCCUAGGUCCAUGCCUCAAGUGGAGCCA
rnacentral:tRNA from 1 species